AUUGAACGCUGGCGGCAGGCCUAACACAUGCAAGUCGAACGGUAACAGGAAGAAGCUUGCUUCUUUGCUGACGAGUGGCGGACGGGUGAGUAAUGUCUGGGAAACUGCCUGAUGGAGGGGGAUAACUACUGGAAACGGUAGCUAAUACCGCAUAACGUCGCAAGAACAAAGAGGUGGACCUUCGGGCCUCUUGCCAUCGGAUGUGCCCAGAUGGGAUUAGCUAGUAGGUGGGGUAACGGCUCACCUAGGCGACGAUCCCUAGCUGGUCUGAGAGGAUGACCAGCCACACUGGAACUGAGACACGGUCCAGACUCCUACGGGAGGCAGCAGUGGGGAAUAUUGCACAAUGGGCGCAAGCCUGAUGCAGCCAUGCCGCGUGUAUGAAGAAGGCCUUCGGGUUGUAAAGUACUUUCAGCGGGGAGGAAGGGAGUAAAGUUAAUACCUUUGCUCAUUGACGUUACCCGCAGAAGAAGCACCGGCUAACUCCGUG
rnacentral:rRNA from 1 species